CUGGACUCUAGUGACAGUUUGACUCCUCAACAGUCAUACUGGUGGCAGGAGCACAGAGCAGUGCCUCUUGAUUGCUGGUUCAGGGGGAAUGACCCCAAGCAUUUGAGGAGAGGAGAGCCUGUGGUCAGCUGUUUCGUUUUGGGGUUCUUCCUGGCCCUUAGAAGACCGAGAUGUGCCCGACUGCACAGAAGACGAAGUUGAAGUCACUCUUCUAGAAACUGCCUGGUGCAGAUGCCAUGGUGACAGAUAUGAAAAGGAUGGGCCUUUGAACAUGGCUCAGCUCACCAGACAUGACAUCUGGAGCCGGAUCCUCCUGGCGUCACCUAGACUGGAUGCCCUGAAGACAGACUUUGUGCUCCCUGCAAGGUACCUAGAUUGGAUGCCCUGAAGACAGACUUUGUGCUCCUUGCAAGCUCAUUCCAGUCCCCAGAGCGCCUGGAACCCUUGCCACCGAGAUUCGAGUGAAGAAUGAGAUAAGUCCUAAGAAUGUGGUUGACUGGGCUUGCAUCCCCUCACGGACAUAUACUGGACACCCAGCAGGAGACUUUGCCUGCUGAGCCCUCCCCAGGGUGGAUCCCACAAUGACAGGACAUUGCUGAUGGGAACCAGAGUGUCCCCCAACCCCUCAUUUCCCAACCAACUUGCCAUCAGACAUGGGUCUCUAGUAGCUUCUGGCGUUUCAGAGACCAAGGAAGGUCAAGUUUGCUGAAGGUUCUAGAUUCCUCUGGUGUCUCUACACUCAGAGUUUACAUUGGAGAGCCCUCGUUCUCUCGUGAGCUCCCACACAGCCCGAGGCCCUGGUUAUGCUCUGCUGAAGCAGUCUGCCCACUGUGGCCUGCUAACUGGUCUUCCAUGGAGGGACCGAGGCUGCGUCACCUUGACCUUUAGAGCCAUACCCUCAGAUCUCUGUCUUUGGUCUCUUAAGGUAGAACAUGGCUCAGCUCACCAGACAUGACAUCUGGAGCCAGAUCCUCCUGUCCAGAUGUGGCCUCUAUCCUCCUUUUAAAUCUUAUGCUGUCUGUCCUUAUUCCUAAGGCUGGGGUGUACUCCAAUUGCCUUGGUCUCUGCCUCCCCACUUAACAGCUGGUUCAUUUGCCAUGCACACACAGCUUCCAGAUACCCUGUCCUUUCUUCUGACUGUGUGUAGGUGCUGCUCAGCCACUGCUUCUGUGACCCCCAAAACCCAAGGGGUGGGGAUCUGACUGAUUCUCCUUUUCUGGGCUGCUUUUGCCACAGCUGACCCAUGAUGAAGUGGGAGCCAAGUCCUCAUAGCCCUUCCUAUUGAGUAUGCAUUCCAAGGUCCAUGCUGUAGAGACCAGCCACCUGAGAGUCCAAGCCAGUAUCUCCUCUUUUCCUUACGUAGAAUCUGCACAAGAGGAGCCAGGUCCCUCCCUUUUUGUAGGUUUGUCCCCUCAAUGUCAGACAGGAUGUUUCUAGUGGGCACAUCCUUCCUUCAGUAAACCCCUCAAAGGGCCUUGCUCCCUGGGGUUGGAGGCUCUUUCAAUUGGGAAGUUGCUGCAAUCUUUCCCUUUCAGAUCUGCCACAAAAAAAAAAAAAAAAAAAAAAAAAGUGGGGACCAAGGACCUUCUUGCUGUUUUGUAACUGAAAAACAGGCUAAGCCCUUGUGGAAAGGACAGAAUGAAAAAAAUGUGGAAGAAAAGUAGAUGGUGAGAAAGAAUUGACAUGCAUUUCCUUUAACGUCACUCUAUCUUGGUCUGUAUCUAUUCUGCUACUGCUUUGUUUAAUAAAGAGUUCAUGGGAAUGGAUUAAAAACCAGACAUGAAAGGCAAUGCUCACGAGGAGACAAGAAAUUGGAAGUGUCUAAAAUGGACCUGUGUUCAAUUUCACAGACAGCCAAGAAGCCUGUUGCCCUGGGAGGCCAAUUCACACCUGUUACCACUGGCAAGAUUUGAAAAGGACCUGGUCACUUCCGGUAGUGGAUAACUACGUCCCCAAGAAAUUGAAGAGUUUAGGGACUUGCCCUUGCCUUGUGCAAUUAGACACAUUUUAUAUUUAUGAAUGAAUGUUGCAAAAAUAUGAGAUACUUGGGUCCUGGGUGAGGGUUUCUCAGGGGAAAAAAAACCAGAUACAGGACACACAGCCACCCUGCUCCCUCCCAUCCAGUCCCAUAGACCUCAAGCAGGCCUGGGUCAGCCCAUGGCCAUGACAGAGAAAAUAUUUUUCUCUGUUUAUAUCCAAGAGAGAAGCAGCUGUCUGUCCUUCUGUACCCUCCCGUCCCUGUCUUGCUCUGGAAAGGCAGGAGAAAAACCUUUGUUUCUUGGGAGAAGAUCCUGGAUUCUCACCCUAGCCUUUUGGAAUAUAAUAAGCCUCUCUCCAAAAGCUGUAAUUUGUCUCAAACUUUGGAACCAGAGGGAGGUCUCCAAGGUGUAGAACGGAAAUACCCGGGAGGUGUGGAAGUGGCUGUCCCCUCUCAUAACAUCUUAAGAACUUCACCUGAGAUGCUAGCCAGGGCUUUAACUACUUGGUCCUCUUAGGGAGUUAACUGAAAGUUUUAUUAUCCUUAUGGAUCAGAGAAAUAAAAUAUAGUAAAUGUAUGGGGUAAAAAAAAAAAAACCCACAUACAAUCUGAGCUUUAGGGAAAAUCAAGCUCAACGGCUGUUAGUGAGCCCCUCAGGUCUGUGUCCCCGAAGUAUUAAGACACUCUAAAGCGCUUUGGUUUACCAAAAUAUAAGACAAAACAAAAACCAUCAAACCAAAGUUGGACGGGGCAAACUAACAGAAGGAAAAGAGCCAAAGAGAAGGCACCAGACCCAGAGAGUCACUGGUUCCCACACUCGGAAGUCUCAUGAAAAUAAGAAAACCUGGAAGCCAUAAUGUAUAUGCAGAGGAAGUGGCUCAGAACAAAGGUUUUCACUGAGUUGCACAGUGUAGUUAGGAUUCUGCAGACGGAAAUACACAUCCUUAGGAUUGUCUGGGGGGGGGGGGUAAGAUGCCCCAGAAAGUCAGCUUUUUGGCUGACACGACUCUGACUCCAGAAAUUCCACUUUGUGGAAUCAUGAUGAAGAUGAAGCAUGAGGUCAAGAGGAGAUACAAGAAUUAGAGUUGCAGGAUGCCUGAGACUGGCAGACCGGAAAGCAAUACAAGAAAGAAAGCAAUGCAGCAGAGGUCUCAGAGAGGCAGGUCUCCAGAGAGCCUCACCCUGCCCCUCACCAAAAGCUACAACCGGAGUUUCCCGGCUUAUUUUUUAUUUCUGUAGCUUGUAAAGCUGGAAACAGUCAAUGGUGAUUUUUUUUUUCAUCUUCCCCAAUUUGGCCAGCUUGUGUCAGUGUUUUGGUCUUUCUUCCAGUUUUCCUUCGAGAAUGUGUCUAGGAACAGACCCGAGAGAACAAUUGACAGCAGACCUGAGUUCUCGGGGUGCUAUUGCAUUGUGCUAGCUUGUUCUUACACGGUCCUUUUAUUUCCUGGUCUGGAAUAUUUUGUCUACUUAAAUGAAAACUGCAAAACACAGCUCUUGUCCCAAAAGGAAUAAGAGAAUUUGUCUUGAAUCAAAUAUGAAAGAGCAAUGCACAGAAACUCACGUGGAAGUUGCCUCCAACAUGACAGUGUUCUCCUCCGAGGAAGAGAUUACAGGAACGUUCGUACAUAGAGAACAAAAAGUCAUAUAAACACAUUUGCCCAAUACGUUAGUGAGGACAUUAGGAGCACAGUAACAGAAAAGAAAGGAGCCCUCUUCAAAAGGACUCAGGUUGGGGUUUGGGGUUGGUGGGAGGUAGUGGUCUGACACGGUGAACACAUUGCAAAAGGUUUGCCUGAUGGUAAUAAUGCCAUCGGGUCAGAUACCGAGACUGGUCAUCGAUGGCUUUUAAGGGGGACUGAUGUUGUCUAGAGAUCAUUUUAGCAUUUGCCGUACAACAGCUCCAGUCUCCCGGCCUGGAUUUCUGAUUGGUCAGUUGCUACAGAGUCCUCCAUGUGAAUGUGGCCUUUUCAGAAAAUGACAAUUCACGGCAUGGGGCAAGAUGUGGGGACCCAGCAAUGUGGCCUUUGGAAGAGUGUGGACAAGAAGAGUUUAAACGCAGCCAAGGGGAGUAUGCACACCUAGCUCAGUGCCAACGAGAAGUCCGUGAGUUUAUGUUAAGGAAGAAACUGCCUCUGUGAGUGGACAGGGCGGGGCUGCCAUAGGAAGAAGUGGAUGCAUAUUUUUAGGAACUCAGAUUUAUUCACUUAGCAAAUGUACUCUGUGCCAGGUACUGUAUUCUUCCCAAGCAUAGUUGCAGGGCAGCAGCCCGGGUACCAGCGAAGUUGCUCUCCAGUUGCAAGGGGUGAGGUGUUAUAGUCAGACAAUGUGUCCCACGAUGUCAGGUGGCAGAAAUGCCUUGAUGAAAAACUAAAAGAGUAUCCGAAAGAUGGGGCUGCUAUUUUAAAUGGGGUGAUGAGGGAAGGCUUCUCUUUAAGGGACAAUAACUGAGCAGAGACCCGAAGAAAGAGGGAUGCCAAGUUCUAUGGCAGCAUGCACCAUUUUAUGGUUUGCUUCUGUUCUGUUCUCCAGACACUCGGGUUAAUAGCACAGCAAACCCAACCCUAGCAUGUUUAUGUGAUACUCUAGUGUGAGAAGACACCUGGGUCCAUAGCCUACCACCUUAGUUUCUCUGCAUUCCAAAAUAUAAUAAUGCAUAUAGUUGGUAAUCAAAAUUGAUAAAGAAAAAUGGAUUUAUUUACAGUUUGGACAAAAUGGGAAGAGACAAAGACUUUGAUUUUCUCCUGCAGCUCCCUAUAGUGUAUUUUCAUAUGUGCACUGAACACACACAGAAAGGAAGUGUGAGACUCAGGACCCUACCAGGUGCAAAUUUCUGGAGCCCCCACCACCCCCCACCCCCCACCACCCCCCCCCCCCCGGGAGAUCCUGGAGACACACUAAUUUUGCUUUAUUUCCUCCGGGUUUGAACGUACAAUGCUCCACCACCACAGAACAGAGGUGUGGCUACCAUCUGCCUUUUCUCUCCUGGAAAUGCACUAAACAUUGCUGUUUAUCACCUAGAACGGCACUGUUCCGAAACACAUAAGGUAUGGGAGAAAAACGUAAAAAGCCCAGCUCCUGCUUUCCUAUUGUGUGACCUUGACCCUGACUCCUCUGUCACACUGCCACUAAAACAAGGAAUAAUUUCACCUAUCCCACAGAAACAGUGCAUUUUAAGGACUUCAUGAAUGUCUUUAAAAUGAAUAGAAGUGUUAAAUCUAUAUCUGUUAUUAUUGCUACUAGAGAGUCGGUUCUUGUUGAACUUGGAGAAUUCUUUACCCCAAGUAUAUUGAGUAUAAUUGACAAAUAAAGC
rnacentral:lncRNA from 1 species